rnacentral:rRNA from 1 species
AACUUUGGACAAUGGGGGCAACCCUGAUCCAGCCAUCCCGCGUGUGCGAUAAAGGCCUUCGGGUUGUAAAGCACUUGUGCCAGGGAAGACAAGGCUCUGGCUAAUACCUGGAGCUGUUGACGGUACCUGCAGAAUAAGCACCGGCUAACUACGUGCCAGCAGCCGCGGUAAUACGUAGGGUGCAAGGGUUAAUCGGAAUUACUGGGCGUAAGGCGUGCGCAGGCGGUUCGGCAAGAAGGAUGUGAAAUCCCAGGGCUUAACCUUGGAACUGCAUUCUUAACUGCCGGGCUAGAGUAUGUCAGAGGGGGGUAGAAUUCCGCGUGUAGCAGUGAAAUGCGUAGAGAUGCGGAGGAAUACCGAUGGCGAAGGCAGCCCCCUGGGAUAAUACUGACGCUCAUGCACGAAAGCGUGGGGAGCAAAC